GUACACUCCUGCGGGAGGCAGCAGUGGGGAAUAUUGCACAAUGGGCGCAAGCCUGAUGCAGCGACGCCGCGUGGGGGAUGAAGGCCUUCGGGUUGUAAACUCCUUUCGCUAGGGACGAAGCUUUUUUGUGACGGUACCUAGAUAAGAAGCACCGGCUAACUACGUGCCAGCAGCCGCGGUAAUACGUAGGGUGCGAGCGUUGUCCGGAAUUACUGGGCGUAAAGGGCUCGUAGGUGGUUUGUCGCGUCGUCUGUGAAAUUCUGGGGCUUAACUCCGGGCGUGCAGGCGAUACGGGCAUAACUUGAGUGCUGUAGGGGUAACUGGAAUUCCUGGUGUAGCGGUGAAAUGCGCAGAUAUCAGGAGGAACACCGAUGGCGAAGGCAGGUUACUGGGCAGUUACUGACGCUGAGGAGCGAAAGCAUGGGUAGCGAACAGGAUUAGAAACCCUUGUAGUCCCA
rnacentral:rRNA from 1 species